AGGAUGAACGCUAGCGACAGGCCUAACACAUGCAAGUCGAGGGGCAGCACAAGGAGCAAUCUGAGGUGGCGACCGGCGCACGGUGAGUAACACGUAUGCAACCUGCCUGUAAGCGGGGAAUAACCCGUUGAAAGACGGACUAAUACCGCAUAAUACUAAAUUACUGCAUGGUAAUUUAUUUAAACAUUUAUGGCUUACAGAUGGGCAUGCGCAUGAUUAGCUAGUUGGAGAGGUAACGGCUCCCCAAGGCAACGAUCAUUAGGGGUUCUGAGAGGAAGGUCCCCCACACUGGUACUGAGACACGGACCAGACUCCUACGGGAGGCAGCAGUGAGGAAUAUUGGUCAAUGGACGAGAGUCUGAACCAGCCAAGUCGCGUGCAGGAAGAAUGUUCCCUAUGGAUUGUAAACUGCUUUUGCAGGGGAAUAAAGUGCAUCACGUGUGAUGUUUUGUAUGUACUCUGCGAAUAAGGAUCGGCUAACUCCGUGCCAGCCGCCGC
rnacentral:rRNA from 1 species